rnacentral:tRNA from 1 species
GAGGGUGUAGCUCAGUGGUAGAGCACAUGCCUAGCAUGCACAAGGUCCUGGGUUCAUUCCCCAGCACCUCCA